rnacentral:rRNA from 1 species
GGGCCCGCACAAGCGGAGGAACAUGUGGUUUAAUUCGAUGAUACGCGAGGAACCUUACCCGGGCUCGAACGGCAGAUGUCGUAUACAGAGACGUAUACUCUCUUCGGAGCGUCUGUCGAGGUGCUGCAUGGUUGUCGUCAGCUCGUGCCGUGAGGUGUCGGCUUAAGUGCCAUAACGAGCGCAACCCUUGUCGAUAGUUGCCAUCGGGUAGUGCCGGGGACUCUAUCGAGACUGCCUCCGUAAGGUGAGAGGAAGGGGGGGAUGACGUCAAAUCAGCACGGCCCUUACGUCCGGGGCGACACACGUGUUACAAUGGUGGUUACAGAGGGCUGCUCCCUGGUGACAGGUUGCCAAUCUCCAAAAGCCAUCUCAGUUCGGAUCGGAGUCUGCAACUCGACUCCGUGAAGUUGGAUUCGCUAGUAAUCGCACAUCAGCCAUGGUGCGGUGAAUACGUUCCCGGGCCUU